rnacentral:lncRNA from 1 species
CUUGGUACAUAUUCAAUAAAUGCUUGUGGUUGAGUCGAGUUAUCUGGUAUAGAUCUAAUCUUUAUUUCAAACAUAGAGGUUGUGAGUCUUUUGAAAAUUCUCUGACUUUGUCUUCUUCUCUAAACCCAAAUUAAUAAUUCAUAAACAUUCUCAUUAAAAUGUUCUUAUUCGGUCAUUCCAUUUAUUGUCUGGGAGUGACAAAGCAGAUGUAAGUAUUUGAGAGUUAUAGAAAUUAAUUUUCAGCUUAAGAUAGGGUCCACAAACUUCACAAAGGGCCAAAUGGUAAAUAAGUUUGGCUUUGUGGUCCCUUGAUGUCCAUUCUAACUAUUAAACUUCGAAAUAUAGUGAAAGAAUCAUAGGUGACCUGUAAAUGACUGGGCCUGAUUAUGUGACAAUAAAACUUUAUUUAUAAAAAACAGACAUGGGGUUGGAUUUUUCCUGUG